UAGCGUGGUGGCAGUCCGCCCGGCCGCCGGCGCCGCAAGCCCGGCCGCCGGAGCUCGUCCGCUGCUCCGUCGCCCGACGCCCCGCACGGCCUGAACCGGCCGUGGCCGUUCCCAUGGCCGCGCCCGCCGGGCACCGGGCAGUGGCCGCCGCUGCCGCCGUUCCUGUCCCACCCGCCUCCGUCCCCGUGUGGCCGUGGCCGCACAACCCGGGGAGCAACCAGUGGCCACCGCUGCCUCCGUUCCCGUUCCACCCACCGUCGUUCCCGGCGUGGCUGCUCCCCCGCCCACCGGCGUCGCAUCUCCAACCUGCGCGGACCCAGAGUGGAGCAUCGUCCUGCUGCACUUCAACCCAUCGGCGCGCACCACAGGUCGCAUCUCCACCACCGCCACUGUCUAGUGGACGUCCACGCCGCAUCUUCGCCCUACGCCGCCACUGCUCCAGCGGCACUAGAUGGAGGCGGCAGACGGAGCCGACCUGUUCGGCUGGCAUUCCUCCAUGGUGGGGCUGGAGGACGGGAAGGAUGGGGAGGAGGGCUCUGACGAGGAGGAGGACCGGCGGCCGAGCGGGAGCACCGAAGUCAGCCUUUAAUUCAUGAUGGCAUGAAAGAGUGGAGCUGCUGCAAGCAAUGAAGCCAUGAUUUUAGCUUAUUUUUGGCGAUACCAGGAUUCGAAGAAAGAAUGGAGAUUGGAGGAUAAAGAUUCAUACUUUUACUUUGUUGCUAUUGUUAGAGUCUCGACUUCAGAUCAUAGGCUUCUAUCAAGAUUACCGCAGUGCCAAGAUUUGGGAUUUGAUUAGUCUUAUGAAAACUUAUGAGAUCAUCGAGUUGAAGUGCUGAAGAGCAUGCCGAUCUACUGGAAGUAGUGUUUUGUCAGUUAAUAUCUGAAGCAAGAGGUUAUUUUGCAAUAUUUUGAACAUUUUGUUAUUGAUGGUGUUAAAGAUUUGUGAUUUGCUUUUCCUGAAAUUUUUAAGAGCAAACUCAAACGUGUGUAGUACCAUGCAGCGUAGGCAAGGAAGCAAGCACAUGCACAUGCGAGCCAUGCGGGUUCCCGAAGGUUGGCCACCAAGACCACGAAGCUAAAUUCGGCAGCCAUAUUAAUUAGUGGACGGCCACGAACCCGCCAAUUAAUUUUGCGGCGAGCGUUGUGGGUUUGCGAGUGGCCGC